CCGUGUAAAUGGAAGCAACUGAUGUCUUGAAAUUAAGGGUUGUCCUAGAUGACAUAAAUGCAGAGAGACUCAUUUUGCCCUCUCGCCCUGAAUCUGUAAAUGCCCUCAUAUGAGGUUAAAACUAAGCUGAACUUGUCCUAUGACUUUCGCCUUCAAUUUCAAGACCCUGAAUUUGACAAUGCCCUGUGCAAUUUAGUUGACAUAGAAGACCUACCGUCCAGGGCAACUGUUAAGGUAGUCAGACUUAUUCAGUCAGAUCUGAGUUCAACCAGCACAGAUGACACAAUAAUACUCUGACAAUACAGAUUCACCAGAGCAUGCUUGCCAAUGGCCAGAGACAUUUGUUGUUCCAACAUUUUCAUAUGAGGUUGAGUAUGCACUGAGAAAGGGCAACUGUAUAUUUGUGAAAGAGGGGAAAACACUCAGGUUGUCCAGGGAUCAAAAACACAACAUACUAGAUGUAAUGGCUGCUGAAAUAUAUAAGCAUAAAGCAUAUCCUAGUAGUAAACAGAUUGGCAUGGCUGCAAAGGCUUUCAUGAGCAAACACCCCUGUCUGAAAGAGACUGGUUCCGAAACAGGGUUGGAAGAAUAGCCUGCGCUUCAAAAUGGGCAACUACGGGACAAAGCUGAGCAGAGCUGGCAUAAAGGAUGUGGCUGUGAAUGCAGGAAAACGCAGCAGGACCAAUCCUGAGGGUGCAUCAUCCAGGGCCAACAUCAAAAGACCUAAAAGAGGGGAAGUCAACUUCCUUCCCAAUUAUCCCACUGGAGAAUCUAAAGACACACUGGAGACUAUGAGGCUUGAGAUGGUGGAGCAGUUCAAGAAGACACUGCCAGAAAGAGACAUGAUUCUCAUCUAUCUCCAUAUGCAGCACACCUUUGCACUCAGACGGGAAGAAGUAGUGAAAUCGGCUCCGCCCAUUGCCGAAAUAAAAGACAGGUGGCCCGCACUCUUCUGUGAAUCCCAAGUCUACAGUGAAUUCAACAGAAUUGCCAAUCACAAUCUACCAUAUUCCUUUUUUGCUGCAAUUGACAAAUGUACACCUCAGCUGUUGAAACUUUACAAAAAGAAGACUGGAAAAUUUGGUGAGAAGAUGGAACAACUCCUGAUGGCGUAUGAAGAACAGGAGGACUUCGGGGCAGUUCAGGAGGGAGCAGUGGCUCUGGUGGCAAAAGUGGAUAACGAGGAGGUGCCUGCAGGUGUUCCUUUUGAAACUCGCCAUGUGUCCAUCAUUCUCGAGGAUCAGGUUGUAAUGUCUCACAAAUCUUGGCCAGAUUCUCUGGUGAUUCUUUUUGGACUGAUCUAUGCUCUCAAUUUGAGCUACCCAGAGAAGCUAAGUGGCUUCUUUGAGUUCAUCCAGGUUGUCCUCUUAAAAUUGAUGAUGGAAGAAAGCAGCUCAAACCUAAGUUACAGGCCUUAAGAAAUGAGCUGGAGUAAGGUGGAGCUAAUGCUCCUUGUCAUUGAAGGUCAGCAGUCUGAUAUCAUGUGUUAGGUCAAAUGUUUUGGCUUGUUUUGUUUGAUUACAUGUUGCUAUUAUUUUCUGUGAGAGGAAGACCCUUGUAUAUAGUUCAUAGUCUUGGAUAUAUGAAGAAUUAACUGAAAUAUUGACUGACUUUAUUGUAAUGGCUAUGCGAUCAAAAAAUUGGAUUAUAGUGGGACUUAAUGGGACAUUUUUCUCCUUAAUGAAUCAAGAGUAAAUUUAGUUGUGAAUUUAAUGUGAUGCUACACAAAAACAAAUAAUUCAUCAAAGUCAGUAUUUUGGCUAAUCGUUGAUAUAUCAAGGACUAGUUAAAAAUCCUGUAGCCCCUCCAAUAUGUUUGAUAAUUAUUGACCAGUAGUUUUGAGCAGGGCUGAAGUUAUUGCAAAAAAACCACAAAACAAGUCGUGUUAUUUUUCACAAAAGUUUUUGGAGAUGAACAUUUUUGUCCACUAAAAUGAUGUCUGAGGGUAAAGGGGAGUUUGCUCAGUUGAGCUACAAAUAAAAAAAAAAAAAGUAAUUUUUUUUCCCUGUCCUGUAGUGCUGUUUAGACAUCUACAGUAUAUUCUUUUUGUAAUUCACAGACCUUGUUGGGAGCAGUUUCAUGCAGAUUCCAGUUUGAGCAGAGAUUACUGCAAAAAGAGUUGUUUCUACAUUAAGCUCGUCGCAACAAGGUCUGUAGAUCAUUUUGAGUAACCAGGUCAUGAUCUCUGGAAAGAGACAAUAGACAGUGCUGCUUGAUUUUUUUUUUAUUUUUUUUUGUGAAAAUGUAUUGUGACUCUUAGCACAAUAAGUUGAGUGCUACAUACACUCAUUAUUUUGGAGAUAAAGCAGGCAUUUUUUGAAAUGGAAAUUAAGUUUGAAUUUGUAUGUUAUUGUGACUGAAUUUUUGAAUGUGAAGAAAAAGUGGAGUGGAAUAUGCAUUCAGUUCAAUAAACAGUUUGAGUUGUGCCAGAUGUGUAUUGUUUGUACUGUGUUAAUACAACUUAAAUGGUUCAAGGCAAUCGGUUUCCUCAAAUGGAUUGAGUAACUAAAAGUUGUCACAACUAGAAUGUAAUGAUUAGUGGACACAAACUGAGUGAAUUCAGCUUGAAUAGUAGCAUUUGCUUGAUUCAAAUUUCCUUUAAUUUACAUUUUCACAUUCUAAAUGAGUUUAAAUAAAUGCUGCGUAUGAGUGUGAAGUACUUAAUAGUGUUAAGUUCAGCUGACUUAAUGGAAUAGUUGAUAUUAAGUUAUUUAUCCAAGUGACUUUAUAGUAAAUACUUGAGUUAUGUACACUUAAAUAGCUUAAGUUCAAAAAGUAUUAUA